rnacentral:rRNA from 1 species
GGGUGAAAGAGAGCUUGCUACUCUGGAUACAUUUAGGCAGAACGGGUGAGUAACACGUGAGUAACCUGCCCUUGACUCUGGGAUAAGCGUUGGAAACGACGUCUAAUACCGGAUACGACCUGUGAAGGCAUCUUCUACAGGUGGAAAGAAUUUCGGUCAAGGAUGGACUCGCGGCCUAUCAGCUAGUUGGUGAGGUAAUGGCCCACCAAGGCGACGACGGGUAGCCGGCCUGAGAGGGUGACCGGCCACACUGGGACUGAGACACGGUCCAGACUCCAUACGGGAGGCAGCAGUGGGGAAUAUUGCACAAUGGGCGCAAGCCUGAUGCAGCAACGCCGCGUGAGGGACGACGGACUUCGAGGUUGUAAACCUCUUUUAGUAGGGAAGAAGCGUAAGUGACGGUACCUGCAGAAAAAGCACCAGGCUAACUACGUGCCAGCAGACGAGGUAAUACGUAGGGUGCAAGCGUUAUCCGGAAUUAC